rnacentral:rRNA from 1 species
CAGCCGCCGCGGUAAAACGGAGGGAGCUAGCGUUGCUCGGAAUUACUGGGCGUAAAGGGAGCGUAGGCGGACAUUUAAGUCAGGGGUGAAAUCCCAGAGCUCAACUCUGGAACUGCCUUUGAUACUGGGUGUCUUGAGUGUGAUAGAGGUAUGUGGAACUCCGAGUGUAGAGGUGAAAUUCGUAGAUAUUCGGAAGAACACCAGUGGCGAAGGCGACAUACUGGAUCAUUACUGACGCUGAGGCUCGAAAGCGUGGGGAGCAAACAGGAUUAGAUACCCGUGUAGUCCCUGUCUCUUAUAA